UACGUAGGGUGCAAGCGUUGUCCGGAAUUAUUGGGCGUAAAGAGCUUGUAGGCGGUUUGUCGCGUCUGCUGUGAAAUUUCGGGGCUCAACCCCGAACUUGCAGUGGGUACGGGCAGACUAGAGUGUGGUAGGGGAGACUGGAAUUCCUGGUGUAGCGGUGAAAUGCGCAGAUAUCAGGAGGAACACCGAUGGCGAAGGCAGGUCUCUGGGCCAUAACUGACGCUGAGAAGCGAAAGCCAGGAGGCGAACGGGAUUAGAACCCGUACCGUCA
rnacentral:rRNA from 1 species